UGUCUUUUGAGAUAUAUGUAAAUCAUUUCAAGCUUGUGGAUGCUUUCAUGGACAUGGAAUUGUUGAGCUGUUACAUUAAUCCUAGAUUGCUGAUAACACACUUGGUUUUUGCCACUUUGAAUUUUCUCUGAACAAAAGAAACAGAAGAUCAGAAAUUUGCUGUGAGGCUUCUAGAUUUGUGUUCAAAUUACAAUUUCCCCUGUUAAAAUAGGCUUUUCCCACAUCAAGAUGUGCACAUUACUUGUUUAAUUUUCCGAACAUG
rnacentral:lncRNA from 1 species